UAAUCGGCCUUUUUCAAGGCCAUCCAAACAAUCGGUCUUUUUAGG
rfam:Lasius niger Lnig_2.1_19778, whole genome shotgun sequence.